CAACUUACCCUUCAGCGGGGCAUAACCUCGGGAAACUGAGGCUAAUUCCCCAUAGUUGGAGUUGCCUGGAACGGUACUCCAUCGAAAGAUACUCCGGAAUGUAGGAGAUUCACUGAAGGAUAGGAUCGCUCUCGAUUAUGGUUGUUGGCGAGGUAAUGGCUCACCAAGCCUAUGAUCGAUAGGGGCCGUGAGAGCGGUAGCCCCGAGAUGGGAACUGAGACAAUGUCCCAGGCCUUACGAGGCGCAGCAGGCGCGAAACCUUUACAAUGCACGCAAGUGUGAUAAGGUUACCCGGAGUGCCAGGAGACAAACUUCUGGCUGUUGUAGGUGUGUAAAUAACCCUACGAGAAAGGAGAGGGCAAGGCUGGUGCCAGCCGCCGCGGUAAAACCAGCUCUUCAAGUGGUCGGGAAUAUUAUUGGGCUUAAAGUGUCCGUAGCCGGUUUGAUAAGUUCCUGGUUAAAUCUGGCAGCUUAACUGUCAGUUGGCUAGGAAUACUAUCUUACUAGAGGGUGGGAAAGGUCUGAGGUACUCCAGGGGUAGCGGUGAAAUGCUAUAAUCCUUGGGGGACCACCAGUGGCGAAGGCGUCAGACUGGAACACGCCUGACGGUGAGGGACGAAAGCCAGGGGAGCGAACGGGAUUAGAUACCCCGGUAGUCCUGGCUGUAAACGAUGCGUGCUAGGUGUUGGUAGGGCUAUGAGCCGUAUCAGUGCCGUAGGGAAACUGUUAAGCGCGCCGCCUGGGAAGUACGCUCGCAAGGGUGAAACUUAAAGGAAUUG
rnacentral:rRNA from 1 species